UACGUAGGGUGCAAGCGUUGUCCGGAAUUAUUGGGCGUAAAGAGCUCGUAGGCGGUUUGUCGCGUCUGCUGUGAAAACGCGAGGCUCAACCUCGCGCCUGCAGUGGGUACGGGCAGACUAGAGUGCGGUAGGGGAGAUCGGAAUUCCUGGUGUAGCGGUGAAAUGCGCAGAUAUCAGGAGGAACACCGGUGGCGAAGGCGGAUCUCUGGGCCUUACCUGACGCUCAGGCGCGAAAGCUAGGGGAGCGAACAGG
rnacentral:rRNA from 1 species